GCUGGGUGUGGUGGCGCACACCUGUAAUCCCAGCUACAUGGGGGCUGAGGCAGGAGGAUCACUUGAACCCAGGAGACAGAGGUUGCAGUCAGCCAAGAUCUCACCACUGCACUCUAGCCUGGGUGACAGAGUGAGACUCCGCCUCAA
rnacentral:SRP_RNA from 1 species